GCGCAGCAGGCGCGAAACCUUUACACUGUACGCAAGUGCGAUAAGGGGACUCCGAGUGUGAAGGCAUAGAGCCUUCACUUUUGUACACCGUAAGGUGGUGUACGAAUAAGGGCUGGGCAAGACCGGUGCCAGCCGCCGCGGUAAUACCGGCAGCCCGAGUGAUGGCCGAUAUUAUUGGGCCUAAAGCGUCCGUAGCUGGCCGGACAAGUCCGUUGGGAAAUCUGUUCGCUUAACGAGCAGGCGUCCAGCGGAAACUGUUCGGCUUGGGACCGGAAGACCUGAGGGGUACGUCCGGGGUAGGAGUGAAAUCCUGUAAUCCUGGACGGACCACCGGUGGCGAAAGCGCCUCAGGAGGACGGAUCCGACAGUGAGGGACGAAAGCUAGGGUCUCGAACCGGAUUAGAUACCCCCGUAGUCCA
rnacentral:rRNA from 1 species